ACAUGCCUACAACAUAGAAUAAAUGCACUGGAUCCCAUUAGAACUCCACAGUUAAGUGCACUUAGGCUAGAGUAGUACUAGGAUGGGUGAUCGCUUGGGAAUUCCUAGUGUUUCACAUGCC
rnacentral:rRNA from 1 species